UACGUAGGGACCAAGCGUUGUUCGGAUUUACUGGGCGUAAAGGGCGCGUAGGCGGCGUGGUAAGUCACUUGUGAAAUCUCUGAGCUUAACUCAGAACGGCCAAGUGAUACUGCUGUGCUAGAGUGCAGAAGGGGCAAUCGGAAUUCUUGGUGUAGCGGUGAAAUGCGUAGAUAUCAAGAGGAACACCUGAGGUGAAGACGGCUCUCUGGGACGGUACUGACGCUGAGACGCGAAAGCGUGGGGAGCGAACAGG
rnacentral:rRNA from 1 species